rnacentral:sRNA from 1 species
AUAUAAUAUGAUUCUAGUGUUCUUUGUCUUUUCUUAAAGUUCAAAUCUCGUUGAAGUUCAUCUCUAAUUUUCUUUAUUGCAUCAAAACUCGUGGUGUUGUCUUCUCGAUAUGUAUCCAAAAGUUGUGAAGAGUUCUAGACGCGAUAAUUGUUUCCUUAUGGUCAUUAUUCCCAAAAGUUUCACAUUAUCGUCUUCAACUUCUUCACUAACAUUACAGACAUAAAUCACGAUUUCUUCUAAAAACUCUAAAUUUUUGAGUAUGCUUCAUUUUCAUCCAGAUAGUCGAGUAGUCUAUUGACAUUUAUCCUAUUUCAA